UGGGGAAUUUUGGACAAUGGGCGAAAGCCUGAUCCAGCAAUGCCGCGUGUGUGAAGAAGGCCUUCGGGUUGUAAAGCACUUUUGUCCGGAAAGAAAUGGCUCUGGUUAAUACCUGGGGUCGAUGACGGUACCGGAAGAAUAAGGACCGGCUAACUACGUGCCAGUAGCCGCGGUAAUACGUAGGGUCCAAGCGUUAAUCGGAAUUACUGGGCGUAAAGCGUGCGCAGGCGGUUGUGCAAGACCGAUGUGAAAUCCCCGAGCUUAACUUGGGAAUUGCAUUGGUGACUGCACGGCUAGAGUGUGUCAGAGGGGGGUAGAAUUCCACGUGUAGCAGUGAAAUGCGUAGAGAUGUGGAGGAAUACCGAUGGCGAAGGCAGCCCCCUGGGAUAACACUGACGCUCAUGCACGAAAGCGUGGGGAGCAAACAGG
rnacentral:rRNA from 1 species